rnacentral:misc_RNA from 1 species
AACCCUUCAAGCAUUGCUUGGUGUUGGGUGUUUGUCUAUAUCUAUGGUGUAGACUCGCCCUAAAAGCAUUGGCAGUAGUUUGCCGGCCUCUCGCGCAGCACUUUGCGCUCUUUGAGGUUUUGGCGGGCUUGACUUCCAUCAAGAUCUUUUACUA